rnacentral:rRNA from 1 species
UACAGAGGGGGCAAGCGUUGUUCGGAAUUACUGGGCGUAAAGGGCGCGUAGGCGGCCUUCUAAGUCGAACGUGAAAUCCCCGGGCUCAACCCGGGAACUGCGUCCGAUACUGGAAGGCUUGAAUCCGGGAGAGGGAUGUGGAAUUCCAGGUGUAGCGGUGAAAUGCGUAGAUAUCUGGAGGAACACCGGUGGCGAAGGCGGCAUCCUGGACCGGUAUUGACGCUGAGGCGCGAAAGCUAGGGGAGCAAACGGG